rnacentral:lncRNA from 1 species
GAGACGACCAAAUUGCAUCAGACGUGACGGCUGUGUCACACGUUUUUUUACUUGACCUUCAGUAUUGCGUACCUGUCUAAUUUCUACUUAUUUGUGCUAGACAAAUUAUAAUCGGAAAUCCCGCUGGGGAUUUAUUUCUACGUUGGAUUUCUACGUUGGAUUUUCUACGUUCGAGUUUUUACAUUCUACUUUAAACCCUCGCUACGCAACGUUCUACCUGGCGGCGAGUGAAAGACCAGACCUGAUCCUGUCUGGAACUACCUGGGUCCUGCUGGAGACCUGGAAGUGCAACCUGGGAAGGAGCUGGGCCGUCGUCGGAGCUACACCACGGUUCAGGCCAGUGUUCCCAGUGUACCUUCUACCUCGAGAUCUAUUCGUGGUUAGGGCAACAGAAGUUGGCUUAAAUAAAGUCUCAAUUUCUACCAAA